rnacentral:misc_RNA from 1 species
AACUUUCAGCAAUGGAUCACUCGGCUCGUGUGUCGAUGAAGAGCGCAGCCUGCUGCGUGAAUUAAUGUGAAUUGCAGGACACAUUGAACAUCGAUAUCUUGAACGUAUAUUGCGGCCUCGGGCAAUCCCGAGGCCACGCCUGUCUCAGGGUCGGUUAAACGUCAAUCGCGAGUCGUUCUCCGCUCGCGCUCUGGACGUCGCAGCGUGCCUUAAUCGGCGUGCUGCGUCGUCUCAAGAUCAGACGGGUUGCUCGGUAGACUAGCCGGGACGAUGACUCGACUCUCGAAGAGCGCAUCUCUCGGUUGCGUCGACAUGCGGCGAUCCAACGUACGAAAUACAAAAACGACUUCGACCUGAGAUCAGACGAGAUUACCCGCUGAAUUUAAGCAUAUCAAUAAGCGGAGGCU